rnacentral:tRNA from 1 species
ACCGGGCUGGCUUAGUUGGAAGAGCACACGACUCUUGAUCUUGAGGUCAUGAGUUUGAGCCCCAUGUUGGGUA